AUGAGGGGUGCAGUGUUGAGUUUGUGGGUGUCUCUGGUCCUGUGCUGCUGGGUUCUGGGCUGGGCUGGAGGUGUAGAGGGACAGGACACUGCACGUGUCCAGACACAGGUGAGACAGACUGGACCUGUGGCACGUGGGAGAGAGGUGGAGGAAAACAGGGAGGAGGUUAUGAUGGACGACCCUGGCGUGGAGGUGGAGGAGAGCAAACCAAAGAAGAAGAAAUCUCCAGAGGAGGUCGAGGAAGCCAGGGCAAAGAAAGCUGCAGAGAGGGAGGCCAAAGCCAAGAAGCAGAAAGCCCCCAAGGCACCGAAAGCCACCAAGGCACCCAAGAAGCCCAAGGCUACCAAGGCACCUAAAGCCACCAAGGCACCUAAAGCCACCAAGGCACCCAAGAAGCCCAAGGCUACCAAGGCACCUAAAGCCACCAAGGCACUCAAGGUCACCAAGCCCAAAGCUACGAAGGACUCCAAGACGACUGGAAGGAAGGACGAGGUGGUGGAGCCAGUGGCCAAAAGACCCACUCUGGAGGAAGAGGAGGAGAAACUGCUGAUUGAGCUGGGCUGGGAUAGAUUGAUUCCACCUGUGACUCCCAAGGAGCCCCAAGAGCCAGGCCAGGACAGGAGACCCUCGGGGCCCACACCACCCUCUGCUGGCUCCAAGACCCUGACAGAGCAUGACCAAGAUUACUGGGAUGCCAAGCGUGCGUCUGACAUGACUCAACAGUCACUUUCAAUCCAAUCUUCUCUGUUUUGA
rnacentral:lncRNA from 13 species